CACACUCGUUGGGGCCUGGGGCUGCGAGGCCGCUGCCUCCCCAGCAGAGCAAUACAAGCAGCUGAGCGUCAGAGAUACAAGCAGCUGAGCGUCAGGGACACAAGAAGCUGGGCAUUGAGGAUACAAGCAGCUGAGCAUCAGGGAUACAAAUGGCUGAGCAGAGAAGCAACUGAGCAUCUAAGACUACAGACAGAUGUGGCUAACUUCAGACAGUGCAGCUUCAGGCAAAGAUCUUCUUCUCGCACCAUCCCCUUUCCAACUCCCCAUUCUGCUGACAGCCACUUCCACUUCCAUCACACAAUAAAAUCCUCUGCAUACGCCAACCUUCAAUUCAUUCGUGUGACGAUUCUUCCUAGACACUGGACAAGAACCCAAAUGCCAAGAGGACAAGGGCUGGGACACUCCUACAGGGCCCUGCACAGAGCCGGCUCCCGCCAGAGAGGAGCAACCGGCCAGUUCCAGCAUUAGUUCACUUUGGUUCCUGCACUCUUCUUGCUCACAUGCUCCCUCUCAUGAGGAGUGGCCAGUGGCAGGCUGAAUGAAAUGUGCUACUCCAGUUCCCUCCCACAAGGUCAAGGAAAAAAUUCCAGCUCAACAGUUUCUGACUGGUUAAGCUUAAGCUUUGUUUUCCUGCAAUAUGGCUGUUCACACUGAGUUAGGUUUCAGUUUGGCCGUAUAGAAACCCGAGACAGUGGAGCCAUCUCAGCCUAAUGGCCUCCCAAUUAUUUAUUUUAACAGGGCAUCAUUUUAUCUAUAUUUGUGCAUGAAUAUAUAUGUGUACAUAAAUGUAUACAUAUACAGACACAUAUUUGGAAGGUUAAUGAUUAAAUACAUCAUAGGGAAAAUAGAGGGCAUACUAGGGUAACAAAAAAGAAAAAAAAAAUCACCAGACUCUUUAAAAGGAAAAAAUAAAGAGACAAAAAUAAAGUAUCAUAAGUUUGUCCAUGGAAAUCCUGGGAUGCAGGAAUUACUUAAGCACUUAAAAACUAAUUACAAGGGGAAAGCAUGUUUAGAAAAAGAAAA
rnacentral:lncRNA from 1 species